GGGGAGGGGGGCGCUGGGUUGCUGACUCGGAGCUCUGCUGCGGUGAGCUUUGAGCUAGCGACUCUCUGAGCUCUCUGGUUGUGCAUGUGUCUGUAGGUUGCCGUGGUGCAGACCGUAGCCUCGCCUCCCUCCAAACACUUUCACGUUUCAGUCGGCCGGCGGCUCCGGUGCGUUUCAGUUGCAGCCAGACUCUACAGUCCUGAAGUGUCUCUGUCUGUAGCUGAGGAUUUCCUGCCCCUGGAAGGAUUCUCUCUCUCUCUUUCUGGCCAAGGCAGAGAGAGAAAGAGAGACAGAUAGUAAGAGGAGAGGAAAGGAAGACAGGAGGAGGAAGAGCGACCAGGAGUGACCUUCGUGGUGUGGUGGCAAAAGCAGAGGAGGAGGAAACGGGAACAAGCGUAGGAUCCAUCAGCUGGAACAGGUGCAUUUUCCUUCUUUGAGGAGCAGCGAUAUGGACACCAGGUGUGGUGACGCCCAGUGAGUGCCACUUUGGGGCGAAAUCACAAAGGUGUUCACUUUGUUAAUGAG
ensembl:lncRNA